rnacentral:lncRNA from 1 species
AAUCAUAAAAGGGAAGAUGUAUUUAAAAAUGACUGUAAUUUGAUAAGCCACCAUGUCUAUUUGCUGGAAGAAUGGAAAUCUAGCUUAAAGGAACUAACAGUCCCUUUUCUGUCAUUCCUUGACUGAAGGGGCUUUUGGGAACACAAGGUCCAGUAGGUGUUCCUGGUGUUACUGUGAGUAUUAGGGCUGCAUUUCCAGAAAUUCAUUUGGAAUAAGAUAUAAAACAUUUUUGUAUUGACUUGAGUCAAAACACAAGCAUUAGGUUGUAUGCUUUAUUUUACUACUAGCUGUACUUUCCUCUGACCACUAUCUAUUGUCUGACCUCCAUAGGGGAAGAGAGGACCAUUUGGAGACAGAGGAGACCCUGGACCAAAGGGGAACCGAGGUGUUCAGGGUCCUUUAGGAAUUCAAGGGCCUCAGGGAGAGAGGGGCCCAAGUGGUUUUCCUGGAUUUACAGGGUUCAAAGGUUAUCCUGGCACAAAAGGCAUUCAGGGGGAGAAUGGAGAAACUGGCCCUCAGGGAAAACUUGGCAGAGAGGGGCUGAAGGGCAACAGGGGAGCAGAUGGACGAAAUGGCAAGCCUGGACACAGAGGGACCAAGGGUCGUAUUGGACAGAGAGGGCAUGUUGGCCAGCCUGGUUCACCGGGUCUGCCAGGCCCACCUGGGACAGAGGGACCAGAAGGAAAGCCUGGGCAUCUCUGGUUCAGUAGGAGUAACUGGUAAUAAAGGCCUAAUGGUAAGAACAAGCAGAGACAUUGUGCAAAACAAAUGAAAUGCAUAUUUAUAUCAUAGAUAGUCAUA